UCAAAUUACAAAUAUAAAAAACAAAACCAUCAUCAAAAUAUUUAAAAUAACGAAAUCACACAGUAUUGAUGCGGGGCAUUUUGUAAGUUCUACCCUUUUGUUUAAUAAAAUAAAAUAAAAAGAGCAAAAAAAAUACUUAAAAAUCAAACAUUAUUUACAGGUAUUUACAUUAAGGCAUUUCAGUUACACAGAAUAAAAUGGCAGAUCUGAGAAAAAGUUGGAUUCCCUCUUGUCCAAGUUUCAUUAAAUAAAUAAAAGGAAGAUUUAGCAUUAUAGUAUCAGCUAGUAUCCAGCCUAUUUCCCUAUAUAGUGCACUACUACAGGCCCUGGUCUAUAGGGCCCUGGUUUAAAGUAGUGCACUAUAUAGGGAAUAGGGGUUCUAUAGGGCCCUGGUCUAAAGUAGUGCACUAUAUAGGGAAUAGGGUUCUUUUAGGGCCCUGGUCUAAAGUAGUGCACUAUAUAGGGAAUAGGGGUUCUAUAGGGCCCUGGUCUAAAGUAGUGCACUAUAUAGGGAAUAGGGUUUUAUAGGGCUCUGGUCUAAAGUAGUGCACUAUAUAGGGAAUAGGGUUCUAUAGGGCUCUGGUCUAAAGUAGUGCACUAUAUAGGGAAUAGGGUUUUAUAGGGCUCUGGUCUAAAGUAGUGCACUAUAUAGGGAAUAGGGUUCUAUAGGGCUCUGGUCUAAAGUAGUGCACUAUAUAUAGGGAAUAGGGUUCUAUAGGGCCCUGGUCUAAAGUAGUGCACUAUAUAGGGAAUAGG
rnacentral:lncRNA from 1 species